CAGUAACGUUAGCGGGGUGCGGGCGAACGGAGCCGGGCGGCGGGGCCUGCAGAGCGGGCAGCCGGGCCCAACAAACCCCCUGUGUCGCAGAGCAGCAUGCGGUGCGACACUCGGCCCGAGUCUGGAAAGUGUGAAGUAGCCCAAGCAUUGCCCCCCGUUGUGGUUUUCCAUCUAGGGAUAUGUUGGUGAAAUAAGGAAAGUUUAAAGCGCAGAGUGGAGGGGAGGACACCCCGCACAGGUAGCGACUGCCAGCCGUGACGGCAUGGCAGUGAGAAGAACUGUAUUUCACCCAGUGCCCUUCUCCCGGUCACUGCCGCCUGGAAGCAGUGUUUGUCCUAGAAAUUCAAAUUACACUUCAAACCAGAACUGGGGAGUUGGGGCAUUUGACUUUUUUUGGGAAAAAAGCGCAACACGUGCUUAUUUCUAUAUCCGCUCAGAUUCCUAAUUGCAGCUUCACCGGGAAAACCAAUGACGUGCUUCAAACUGUAAUCCGGAGAGGGAAUGGUGAGACUCUUCAACUCCUUGGAGACUGCUAUGGGAGAUGAAGAGUUCAAACAUGAACUCACAGCAGUGAACAGCAGCUAUGGCAUUAAGGCUUUCAUAAAUGCAUGUUGAGAGGUAGCAGGUACAUGCUCAUUCUGUAAAGAGCAAGACCAGAAAUCAAGCUGUAGCAUCUGUUUAUGAGAGCUUAGAAAGUCAAGCCACUGGAGCACUUGGGGCUAUGAGAGGCUGGUAACUUUUCUCUGGGUUGAUAAAGACACUUUGGUACUGGCUUAAAGACUUGCGAGAGCUGAAGGCCAGCAUAUUUGUUUUCUGUGUGGCAAGGGAAUCAAACCCAGACUGAAACUUCCACAAUUGCCUUUGUCCCCUCCUGAUUUUACACAGGGCCAGCAACCCCUGUGCAGAGCAGAGAAAGGUUUACCUGAACUUUUCUUAACCCCAGCCUAGAAGUAAAUGGAUUCCUUCUUGUACCUUCCACUCUUCCCACGGAGACAUGUUUCUAUAUAUCCUGAUUUUCUGCUCCUCCCUGAGAUGAGCACUGCCUUUCAAGGUGACUGCUCAAAAAAAAGGUGUGAUGAAUGGGGAACAGCAGUAUGUGCUUCUGGUGCCACAGAAAUUAGCCAAGAUGCCGUGGUAUUUGACUCUGGAUUGCACAUUACUCAGGAAACCUUCACUGUUUUCCUGCAAAAAGUUCAGAAAAUCUUUAGGGAAAAAAAAAAAAAUCAGAAGCAGUUAUGACUAUCACAGAGAAGCAGAAAAUUCCCCAAACCCAAAAACAAAACCACACCUCUGUAUACCUCAUAUAUAUGCUAUUUCAUGUGGCUGAAAUGUUGCAUCACAUUCUGGUUCUGGCUAAGAUGUUGCAUCAAGCAACUGUCUUUUUCCUUUUCUGCUCUUAAGGAAUGUAACACUGCAUGGAUAGAAUAACUGCAGGAUGAAUAUUUAUGCAACUUAUCAUAGAAUAUGUCUAGAUCCAUGAGAGCUCAAAUUAGAGCAAAUGCAUAGUGAAGGACUGGUGAAAAGUCAGUGAGACCCACAAGUUGUGUAUAGCUGGCUUUUAUCAUAAUCCUACCCACCUACCUUGGGUCACACAAUUGUUUCCUGUAGUUCUCAACUAUUUAUUAUAUUUGUGUAAGAGUAGCUCGAUGGCUUUUUAACAUGCCUGUCUUUUCAGGACAGCCAACAGAAUAAAUUCACUAGCUGAGAUGCACCCCCUCCAUCAUCUUCUCUCUACUUCCACGUGACUGCUAAAUGCUAGUGUGAAAGCAUUGCAAAGAGCAGGCUAAUCAUACAAUGAAUCAGAAAAGGAAAACAAUUUUUUCUUCCCUUCCACUUGUUUACAAAUAAGGCAUUUAACCUCAGAUGUUGAAACAACAUUCCCAGAGGGGAAGAACUGAAGCUGAGGUAGUGUUGGAAGUUCAAAGGUAUUGCCUCUCACCUCUUCUGUGAAUGAUGCAAUAUGUUGCUUUAACCUGGUUAUUAUUCAUCAUUUCCACAGUGACAGCAGAAUUCAACACCCAUUUCAUAAGAGCCCACAUAAAAACAGGUUGCUGUGAAAUAAAUGACUGCUGCCACCUCUAACAUCCUUGACCAUUACUUUGUUCCCUCCUGGCUAGCCCAAGUAGCCACCUGCAGGGUACUUGCUAUGACCUUCCAGGGCAGUCAUGGGAAGGUCAGCCCAACUAAACGUGGGGCAUACUCUAUUGAGUAAGACCUGGCAGCUGCAGGUGAGAGCAAGAAGCAAAACAAUAAUCCAGAAGCAGCUGGAAAUUGCCAGACCGACACAGAUGAGAUAUUAGGAAAAACUCUUUAUCAUAAGGGUGUUGAGGUGCUGAAGCAGGUUGCUCAGAGAAGUUGUGGAUGCUCUAUUCCUGCAACUAUUUGAGGCCAGGUUGGAUGGAGCUCUGAGCCAUCUCGUCAGUGAAAGGUGUCAAUGCCCAUGGCAGGGGUGUUGAAACUAUGUGUCCUUCCAACCCAGGACAUUCUAUGAUCUGGCUGAGAGAUUAGUCUGUCACUGAGUAACUAAAUACUUCUCAUCCAAAAAGCAAUAAGAAGACAUCUUUUCUUAGAGAAGAAAAAAAAAAAAAGAAGAAGAAACAGUAUGCAAUAUAAAGCAUGUGAUAAAUAACAAGAUCAUAUCACCUCAUAACAUGGCUGAUGAAAAAUGGGAUUUUGUGGGCUCAGGUCCCUUUUAUCCUCCCUUUAUGUGUGUAAGACUGAGUAAAUGCUGGCUAAGUGAAGAGCUGAGUAUGCUGAACACGUCUUUAGCUUGGUAGGAAUGGGAGGCUUCAUACACCAACAUACAGAAAAGAGAAAGGUAUGUGACAUAAUAUUUUGUACCAAAACCUUUCAGGGGCUGCCCAUUGUUAUGUUAUGAAAUGAAGCUUGUUAAUAAUUUCAGCCAAGCUGCCAGCUAAACAUCAGACCUGCAGAUCUGCAGGGCCUUCCCUGGCCACAUUUUAGUCUGAAUUUCUUCCCUUGGCUACCUGGGACAGAACAUUUGUAGAUAUUUGAUGACUCUUGAAGUUGAGAACAGAAAAUAAAGCAGCUUAUAGAAUUGA